AUCCAGCUGAAGAGUCCCAAAUAGGACGAAAAGAGCGUCUUGGAU
rfam:Schistosoma haematobium scaffold1399_27, whole genome shotgun sequence.